AACGCAUUAAGUAUCCCGCCUGGGGAGUACGGUCGCAAGACUGAAACUCAAAGGAAUUGACGGGGACCCGCACAAGCAGCGGAGCAUGUGGUUUAAUUCGAAGCAACGCGAAGAACCUUACCAAGGCUUGACAUCCCUUGACAGCCAUAGAGAUAUGGAUUCCCUUCGGGGCAAGGAGACAGGUGGUGCAUGGUUGUCGUCAGCUCGUGUCGUGAGAUGUUGGGUUAAGUCCCGCAACGAGCGCAACCCUUAUCAUUAGUUGCCAGCACGUAAAGGUGGGAACUCUAAUGAGACUGCCGGGGAUAACUCGGAGGAAGGUGGGGACGACGUCAAAUCACCAUGCCCCUUAUGUCUUGGGCUACACACGUGCUACAAUGGCCGGUACAAAGAGCAGCGAAGCCGUAAGGCGGAGCGAAUCUCAAAAAACCGGUCCCA
rnacentral:rRNA from 1 species